rnacentral:rRNA from 1 species
CAGCAGCCGCGGUAAUACGAAGGGGGCUAGCGUUGUUCGGAUUUACUGGGCGUAAAGGGCGCGUAGGCGGACUGAUAAGUCAGGGGUGAAAUCCCAAGGCUCAACCUUGGAACUGCCUUUGAUACUGUUUGUCUUGAGUUCGAGAGAGGUAAGUGGAACUGCGAGUGUAGAGGUGAAAUUCGUAGAUAUUCGCAAGAACACCAGUGGCGAAGGCGGCUUACUGGCUCGAUACUGACGCUGAGGCGCGAAAGCGUGGGGAGCAAACAGGAUUAGAUACCCCAGUAGUCCCUGUCUCUUAUAC